CUCCAUUCAUCACUUGUCUUAGAUGGGCCGAAGAGUUUUCAUGCUAUCCAGCAAGAAAAGCCCAAAUCUUACGUUGGGCCUUUGGCCCUUUUACGUCGUUUAAUUAAUUAAUUAUUCGUUCCAGGAUUUUUUAAGAAACAAAAGAAUACCUGAACGAACCGUACACACACAAAUCUCAGAAUAAGAGAAAUCGCAAAGAACAAGUAGAAGAACAAGAUGAUCUACAGGAAAUGGAGUCUUCUUACUGGUCCUGCUGCAAUUUUCGGCGGCAUAGUCGGCGCUGUGGUCGUUGCCGACAUCCUCUUCAUCGAGAAAGAUCUAUUCCGUAAAACAGAACAAAAGAAGCUAGAUGCACCACCAGCAACCAAGUAAAGGAAAGGAGGUGGAAGUUGGCAUUGAUGUGAUUUUAAGGCUGUAUCGGGGUCUGUUUUGUUGAGUAUGUCUGUUAAGCAAACUUAACUUCUAGUUGCAGUUUGGGUCAUGAAUUCUUGUUCAAAUAAUAGUUUAUUCUGAAGCUAAAUGUGAGUACUGAUCAAGUACUGUAUCUCAAGUUGGUUAACUCAA